CCGAUCGGAUUUGUAUUGAUGAGUUAAGUAUAAACCCCUUAACAAGUAUCAAUUGGAGGGCAAGUCUGGUGCCAGCAGCCGCGGUAAUUCCAGCUCCAAUAGCGUAUAUUAAAGUUGUUGCAGUUAAAAAGCUCGUAGUUAAUCUUCUGUUAAUUUUUAUAUAUAAUAUCACGAUAUUUAUAUAAUAUUAACAUAAUUCAUAUUACUUUUUAGUAUAUGAAACUUUACUUUGAGAAAAUUAGAGUGUUUAAAGCAGG
rnacentral:rRNA from 1 species